rnacentral:ribozyme from 1 species
ACACUGCAAUAAAAGACUUUGACAACAAAAAAAAAAAAAAAAAAAAAAAAAAAAAAAAAUUACGGUAUUUUGUUUGGAAUUUUUUUUUU